AAGAACGGAUAUCCAGUUGAUAGCGCAACAUGCCACCGAUGCCACCAAAUCCUCUGCAAAACUGUGAUCCCUCUUGAGAUUUGUUGGUAACAAACUCAAGUGUGCACCCAAACUUUUUGUACUCAUUAGCAAACCAUUCCAAAAGCGAGGUUUUCUCCUGAACCUCCAACUCCGCAUUGGUAGAUGGAUCACGGAAAUGGCUCUGGUCAGCUUCUUGCUCUUUGUUCAGAUGUUUGAUAAUAGUUUCUCCAGUUGCACUAUUCUUAAGCACAUAUCUGUUGACAUCGAGGUUUUCCCACACUAUGAGCGUCUCAACAGCACCCAUUUCAAGAGCCUUCAGUGUGUCAUCAACACCAAAGACAUACUUCCCUGUAUCUUGACUAAUUUCUUCAAAAUAUUUUCCAAUCAGCUUCUUCUCCUGUAUGAAUUUCACAUUUGC
rnacentral:lncRNA from 1 species